GUCUUCUGUGAUCCCAGGAACAAAUCACAUCGGUAAACUGUCAUGAUCAGAACUGAAUCCCUCUCCGAGGCGGCUCCGAACAAGGAAAGGAAACAAGGAGACACAGAACCGCGCGUCAGUGUGAGCAAAAUGAAAACCGACAUAUCAUCCACGUCAGACUGUCGUCCUGAGUGAGAGACAGCAGUGUCGGUGGCCCGCUGCUGAAACACCUUUACAGGAGAGAAAACAUUAUCUGCCGCCUCCUUUGAUGUCUGUGCCCUGAGAAACGACACGGGGGGAAGUUUCAGGUCCUGCCUCCUGAGCGCUUCCAGAUGUCGCACAUCCUCUUUUACUGUGAGAAAAACAAGGGAGGAACAUACAAGAGACAUACGCUGACCUGAAAGUGAUCUUUUGCCAUCUAUAAACUCAGAGGGCAGGGUUGAAGGGGUCAGAGGUCAAUCAGCUUGACCCGGGGGGCACUAUAUCUUCAAUAUAUGUUCCUGAAGGUCACGUCUGAG